AUUGAACGCUGGCGGCAGGCCUAACACAUGCAAGUCGAGCGGCAGCGGGAAAGUAGCUUGCUACUUUUGCCGGCGAGCGGCGGACGGGUGAGUAAUGCCUGGGGAUCUGCCCAGUCGAGGGGGAUAACUACUGGAAACGGUAGCUAAUACCGCAUACGCCCUACGGGGGAAAACAGGGGACCUUCGGGCCUUGCGCGAUUGGAUGAACCCAGGUGGGAUUAGCUAGUUGGUGAGGUAAUGGCUCACCAAGGCGACGAUCCCUAGCUGGUCUGAGAGGAUGAUCAGCCACACUGGAACUGAGACACGGUCCAGACUCCUACGGGAGGCAGCAGUGGGGAAUAUUGCACAAUGGGGGAAACCCUGAUGCAGCCAUGCCGCGUGUGUGAAGAAGGCCUUCGGGUUGUAAGGCACUUUCAGCGAGGAGGAAAGGUUGGUAGCUAAUAACUGCCAGCUGUGACGUUACUCGCAGAAGAAGCACCGGCUAACUCCGUGCCAGCAGCCGCAGUAACAC
rnacentral:rRNA from 1 species